AUUGAACGCUGGCGGCAUGCCUUACACAUGCAAGUCGAACGGCAGCACGGGAGCAAUCCUGGUGGCGAGUGGCGAACGGGUGAGUAUUAUAUCGGAACGUGCCCAGUCGUGGGGGAUAACGUAGCGAAAGCUACGCUAAUACCGCAUACGAUCUAUGGAUGAAAGCGGGGGAUCGCAAGACUUCGCGCGAUUGGAGCGGCCGAUAUCAGAUUAGGUAGUUGGUGGGGUAAAGGCUCACCAAGCCGACGAUCUGUAGCUGGUCUGAGAGGACGACCAGCCACACUGGGACUGAGACACGGCCCAGCCUCCUACGGGAGGCAGCAGUGGGGAAUUUUGGACAAUGGGCGCAAGCCUGAUCCAGCAAUGCCGCGUGCAGGAUGAAGGCCUUCGGGUUGUAAACUGCUUUUGUACGGAGCGAAAAGGCUUCCACUAAUACUGGGGGCUCAUGACGGUACCGUAAGAAUAAGCACCGGCUAACUACGUGCCAGCAGCCGCGGUAACAC
rnacentral:rRNA from 1 species